GUGAUGGAAGAGGUUAGUGCUCUCCUUGAUGAGGAUGGAAUAGACCCUGGUGGCCUCACGCAUACAGUUAAGGCACUGCCACGUACUUCAAAGCAUUUUUUGAUGUAUUGG